GACGAACGCUGGCGGCGUGCUUAACACAUGCAAGUCGAACGGAAAGGCCCUGCUUUUGUGGGGUGCUCGAGUGGCGAACGGGUGAGUAACACGUGAGUAACCUGCCCUUUACUUUGGGAUAACUUCAGGAAACUGGGGCUAAUACCGGAUAGCAGCUCCUGCUGCUUGGUGGGGGUUGGAAAGUUUCGGCGGUUGUGGAUGGACUCGCGGCUUAUCAGCUUGUUGGUGGGGUAGUGGCUUACCAAGGCUUUGACGGGUAGCCGGCCUGAGAGGGUGACCGGCCACAUUGGGACUGAGAUACGGCCCAGACUCCUACGGGAGGCAGCAGUGGGGAAUAUUGCACAAUGGGCGGAAGCCUGAUGCAGCAACGCCGCGUGCGGGAUGACGGCCUUCGGGUUGUAAACCGCUUUCGGCUGUGACGAAGCGUGAGUGACGGUAAUGGGUAAAGAAGCACCGGCUAACUACGUG
rnacentral:rRNA from 1 species